rnacentral:rRNA from 1 species
AAAGGAAUAGACGGGGACCCGCACAAGCGGUGGAUGAUGUGGUUUAAUUCGAUGCAACGCGAAAAACCUUACCCACCUUUGACAUGGCAGGAAUUCCGAAGAGAUUUGGAAGUGCUCGAAAGAGAACCUGCACACAGGUGCUGCAUGGCUGUCGUCAGCUCGUGUCGUGAGAUGUUGGGUUAAGUCCCGCAACGAGCGCAACCCUUGCCAUUAGUUGCUACGAAAGGGCACUCUAAUGGGACUGCCGGUGACAAACCGGAGGAAGGUGGGGAUGACGUCAAGUCCUCAUGGCCCUUAUAGGUGGGGCUACACACGUCAUACAAUGGCCGGUACAAAGGGUAGCCAACCCGCGAGGGGGAGCCAAUCCCAUAAAGCCGGUCGUAGUCCGGAUCGCAGUCUGCAACUCGACUGCGUGAAGUCGGAAUCGCUAGUAAUCGUGGAUCAGCAUGUCACGGUGAAUACGUUCCCGGGUCUUGUACACACCGCCCGU